rnacentral:misc_RNA from 1 species
AUUUUCAUCACUUCCAUCAGUAUCCUGAGACUGUGUUGAGCUUGAGAAUUCUUCUAUGUCGUCAUCUCCAACCUCAUAUACUUUCAUCUUUGCCUUAGUUACUGCCCCAGCUUUUUUCCCUUCCUUUGCUUUCCCUCUCUUUCUAGGUCCUCCAGCCUGAUCUAUCCUCCUUCUCGAAUUAGCAAGCUGCACCUUCUGAUCAGAAACUUUUGAUGAUGGAGAUUUCCUUGACUUUCUUGGCUCAUUCUUUUCUUCUACUUUCCUUUUACCAUGCGCUUUAUUGAAUAAUGUAGAAAUAGUGGCUUGAACGAGUGAACCGUGAUUACUGUGCGACUCAGAGUGUUCAUUAGAUGUUCUUAAGACAGCAGAUUCCGACAGCUUCUUAAACUUGGUCCCCAACAUGGCACAAGCUUGAAUUUUUCCAGAAGAAUAAUUCCCUUCAAUAGCACCCUCAUUUUCAAAAUCAAGAACUAUGGCGGAAGAAGUAUUAGAUUUUACAUUCUUUUCUUCUUCUCCUUCUUCCUUAGCUACAUCAGAAUGCUUUCAACAGAAUCAUCUCCGGAAGAAGCUUCUGCAAACUUGAAUGUUUUCCCAGCAGUUCGCUCAGAAUGUCGAGUUUGUGCAGUUUCCAUCAAAUCAUUCAAAUUGUUUUUAUCAUCGGAUAGAUCAUUUUCAAGCUCAGUUUCAGGGGUCUCAAUUUCUACAUAUUUAAUACCACUUUUGUGAACAACUUCCUUAUUUACAGAUGCCGCUCCUGCACCACCUUUAAAGUCAUACUCAACUUGUUGUCCCUGUCCCUCAAACAUUUGCUUGGGAAAAUCAAGUUGGGCCUCUUCUGGGUUCUCUUCUUUCGUUCCAAUCCACCACGCAUCAGAAAACACAAUCAUGCUAUCAAAGUAAUCUUCACACAAAACAUUCUUGCCACCCCUAGAGAACUGCAACGUUAGGUAUCUAUUCUUCGGAUAGACAAUGGUCCCAAACAGCUUCAUUUCACCCUGGGGAAAAUGGAGAUAGAGAAUGGGAUUUCUAGUUCCCAAAUCCUUGAGGUCUCCAAUCUUGCCGCCAGCAGCAAUAGGAGCAAGAAAACCAGGAAAAGAAAAGAGGAAGCGAUU